UCCUGUGGUAACCAAGAUACAAGCCUGAUUUUAUUUAUGUUACCACUGGCUCAGCCUUAGCAUGAUUUCAUACGGAAGCAGACCAUAUUGUGGAGCCAGCUAGAAGGAUAGGACCCUGCCUAUCCUUAUAAGACCAAAGCAGGCAGAUUAUUGUUCAAGAAAACUACUUCUUCAUCCGGCUGGGAAAAGAAGAGACAAGAGUUUUACUCACAGGGGACAGAUAUCAAAUGAAGAAUCUCCUGGAUCUACCUGGGAAGGAGUGUGAUGAUUGAAAAGGAAGGCUGAAAUGCACCUCAGCUAGCCUGAGGCUCCUGCAGUGGAAAUAUCUACAGCUGAGCUAAAUUUCCUGAACUCCUGCUAUGGUUAAUAGAGAAAUAGGCACCAUGGGGCAAUUCAUCUCACCCCAAAGUGGGCAGCUGAAGUAGGAAUGAAAUUCUGCUCUGCCUCUGCCCUCAAAGAAAAUAAUACCCUGUCUGAGGGAAGUGUUCCUACAACUACAUAAUCCUUUAAGGCAUUUAAGGAACAUGGACUUGGACUUGAACUUGAACCCUUCCAGAGGAAAGAUCAAGAUCUAGAUUUUCAACAAGAAGUUCCUGCUGGUAAUCUGUAUUAUCUGAGGGUCUGGGCUUUCUGACUUUAGUGGUGGAAAAACAGAAAAAUAUGUUAUACAAGAAGGAAAAUAUAGCCAGUAUCAGAGUUGACAAUUUGUUACAUGAGCAGCAGAACUAAUGAAAGCAGUUUUCUUACUUGUUACUUUUUUUCUCUGGUGAGUAACAGAGCAUCAGGAAUGACUGAAGUUCUUCCCACCAUUGCGAUAUUCACAGCAACCAUCUGCCAUUCAGAUCCUUGUGAGUCUAACUAAGAGUUUAACACAGUAUAUGCCUCUCCUCAACAUAACACUGGGUAUGGCUUCUGCCCUGCUUGUAUUUCCUCAAAACUUGUAGGGAUGUAUAGCAUUUCUGGGUCAUUUGUAUUUGUCAAAUGUAGCAGACCCUGUCAAUCAGAAGGUUCAAAACCCGCUGGGCCUGGGAGAGAGACCUAGGAGGACAUGCGUAUGGGUGGAAAUAUCAGCAGCAAAAUCAGAUAGCUCUUGUUUUCUUUGGAAACUAAUCUUUAAAAGUAUUCCUUUGUUUUGUAUGUGGACUGGGCUGAGUUUUCUCCUCGGUGAGAAAAAAUAUUUUAAUAGCACAAGUCAAGUUUAGAAAAAAGUAGGAAAUUCUAUUAAGUAUGCUAUCUCUGCUGUACCUAUUUACAUCCAAACAUUUGACAAUGCAAAUAUAAUAUGCAUCUGUGUGUGAAUUAUGAACUAAUUUUACACUAACUGAAGAAACAGUUAUAAUGUGGUAUAGAAAUCACGGUUAAAAAUGACCAUCUGCCUGUUACAUUUAGAAGAGGAAAAACCUAUCAUAACAUUAUUCAUUUAAAGUGUGUUCUGCUGCACAUUUGAAUUGAAGUGAAUAACAUGAAAAUUAAGUACCGAAUCAAGGAUCUUCUUUGUGUCAUAGUUUCAGUGCUACUGUUUAAACACAACAAAAAGAUCUGAAAGAUCUUCAAUGGAAAUUCUUAUAAUCUGUGUAUCUCUAAUCUCUUCAGUGUCAACAGUAGGACAUAUGAAAGCUGAUUUCCGCAUUUUGUUAUAAAGUUAACCAUACUCUGUGUCUUUGAAAAUGAACCUGUUAUUUGCACAGUCCAUGUCUUUCUCUAUUCUCACAGUCACCAAAUGCAAACUGGAGCUGGAUUUUUCAUUUAGUUUGCAUCUGUUAGAUACACUGUGAUAACUGCAUAACACAUCUGAGUGACAUUCCAAACCAGCUCUGACAUUUCAAGUUUGUUCUUGUCACCUAAUG